rnacentral:rRNA from 1 species
UGGGGAAUUUUGGACAAUGGGGGCAACCUGAUCCAGCAAUGCCGCGUGUGUGAAGAAGGCCUUCGGGUUGUAAAGCACUUUUGUCCGGAAAGAAAACGUCGUGGUUAAUACCCGUGGCGGCUGACGGUACCGGAAGAAUAAGCACCGGCUAACUACGUGCCAGCAGCCGCGGUAAUACGUAGGGUGCAAGCGUUAAUCGGAAUUACUGGGCGUAAAGCGUGCGCAGGCGGUCCGCUAAGACAGAUGUGAAAUCCCCGGGCUUAACCUGGGAACUGCAUUUGUGACUGGCGGGCUAGAGUAUGGCAGAGGGGGGUAGAAUUCCACGUGUAGCAGUGAAAUGCGUAGAGAUGUGGAGGAAUACCGAUGGCGAAGGCAGCCCCCUGGGCCAAUACUGACGCUCAUGCACGAAAGCGUGGGGAGCAAACAGGAUUCAGAUACCCUGGUAGUCCACGCCCUAAACGAUGUCAAC